rnacentral:tRNA from 1 species
GGGGAUUUAGCUCAGUGACAUAAGCGCCUGCCUUGCAAGCAGGCAGUCGUGAGUUCGAUUCCCAGUACCGA